GGGGGUAGAGCGACGGAAUUCGGCCGGGGGGCUUCCCGCCUACCCGCCGAAACCCAACUCCGAAUACCGCGUGGGCGUACUCCGGCAGUCAGAGCGCGGGGGAGAAGCUUCGUGCUCCAGAGGGAAAGAACCCAGACCGCCGACCAAGGCCCCCAAGACGACGCUCAGUGGCAAAGGAAGUGGGAUCGCGGUGACAGCCCGGAUGUUGGCUUAGAAGCAGCCACCAUUUAAAGAGUGCGUAAUAGCUCACUGGUCGAGUGACUCUGCGCCGAAAAUGUAACGGGGCUCAAGCCACGAGCCGAAGCUUCGGAUGCAUUCCUUCGGGGAUGCGUGGUAGCGGAGCGUUCCG
rnacentral:rRNA from 1 species